rnacentral:rRNA from 1 species
UACGUAGGGUGCGAGCGUUAAUCGGAAUUACUGGGCGUAAAGCGCGCGCAGGCGGUCUUCCAAGUCAGUGGUGAAAGCCCCGGAGCUCAACUCCGGAACUGCCAUUGAAACUGUUAGACUUGAGGACGAGAGAGGUGAGUGGAAUUCCCCAGUGUAGAGGUGAAAUUCGUAGAUAUUGGGAAGAACACCGGUGGCGAAGGCGGCUCACUGGCUCGUAACUGACGCUCAUGCACGACAGCGUGGGGAUCAAACAGG